rnacentral:rRNA from 1 species
UACGUAGGGUCCGAGCGUUGUCCGGAGUUACUGGGCGUAAAGCGCGCGUAGGCGGCGGUGCUGGCCCGGCGUGAAAGCCCCCGGCUCAACCGGGGAGGGUCGUCGGGGACCGCACCGCUUGAGGGCGGUAGGGGCUGGUGGAAUGCCUGGUGUAGUGGUGAAAUGCGUAGAGAUCAGGCGGAACACCCGUGGCGAAGGCGGCCAGCUGGGCCGUCCCUGACGCUGAGGCGCGAAAGCUAGGGGAGCAAACGGG